rnacentral:rRNA from 1 species
UACGGAGGGGGCUAGCGUUGUUCGGAAUUACUGGGCGUAAAGCGUGCGCAGGCGGUGAUGUAAGACAGGUGUGAAAUCCCCGGGCUUAACCUGGGAACUGCAUUUGUGACUGCAUGGCUGGAGUGCGGCAGAGGGGGAUGGAAUUCCGCGUGUAGCAGUGAAAUGCGUAGAUAUGCGGAGGAACACCGAUGGCGAAGGCAAUCCCCUGGGCCUGCACUGACGCUCAUGCACGAAAGCGUGGGGAGCAAACAGG